GACGAACGCUGGCGGCGUGCUUAACACAUGCAAGUCGAACGGAAAGGCCCUGCUUUUGUGGGGUGCUCGAGUGGCGAACGGGUGAGUAACACGUGAGUAACCUGCCCUUGACUUUGGGAUAACUUCAGGAAACUGGGGCUAAUACCGGAUAGGAGCUCCUGCUGCAUGGUGGGGGUUGGAAAGUUUCGGCGGUUGGGGAUGGACUCGCGGCUUAUCAGCUUGUUGGUGGGGUAGUGGCUUACCAAGGCUUUGACGGGUAGCCGGCCUGAGAGGGUGACCGGCCACAUUGGGACUGAGAUACGGCCCAAACUCCUACGGGAGGCAACAGUGGGGAAUAUUGCACAAUGGGCGGAAGCCUGAUGCAGCAACGCCGCGUGCGGGAUGACGGCCUUCGGGUUGUAAACCGCUUUCGCCUGUGACGACGCGUGAGUGACGGUAAUGGGUAAAGAAGCACCGGCUAACUACGUG
rnacentral:rRNA from 1 species